CGAGCAUAUCAGGUUGAAACACCAGCUCUCGUCCAAUCACCGAAGUUAAGCAGCGUCAAGCCUGGUUGUUAUCUAAAUCGGUGACCGCUUGGGAAUAAAACGCGCUGUAAG